CUUUUGAAUUAUUUUGUGUGAUAGAUGCUGAGGGUAAGUUCAUCGUGGUUCAGAAGUGUUACACAGAGAGUGGAUCUCGCUACUGCCAUGGGAAGUGGAACGCUGUAGAAGUGGUUUCUGAUCAUUUGUUGGUUUCAGCCCUGUUUUCAGAAACAACGUCUUUCGUGACUUCAACAGAUGAUGAUAAAGGUACUGAAAGAUUAAAUUUGGGAGAAAUCAAUAUAUGACUUCUGCAGAAUAUGUGAACUGAAGCAGCUAUGAGCAUCUCUUCUGCAUUACACAAAAUACACUCUUAAGCAUGAUACAGAAGACCUAUGUAAUUUGUCCUAAAGUCUGUGAGAUCCAAACACCACGUUUUGCAAACUGGCAGGUAUGCAAAAGAACAGGAUAAAGUGACAUGUUUAUUUUUAAUAUGUGCCAUGGGAAAAGACUACUUUUAAUUGCACAAUGCAAAAUAUUCUUGAGCAAUAUCUGGGAGUACCAUCUAGAGUAUCGAUUAAAAAUGAAUCACUGGGAUUUAUUUGUUUGGCUGUGGUUGUACAGGGCGAAAAAGCAGGCAUGGUGCUAGGGUAGGUGUGUGUCACUUGUCAAGCAUGGAGUCUUUGGGUAUGUGCACCACUGCUGACCAUCAGACCAUGCUGUGCCCAGGAUGAAUUGUGUGGGUAGGCUGCUCCAGGCAGCACAUCACUUCUGAGGCAUGGGCUCUACUGUGUGCAUCUGAGUGGGAGCCAACAGUGUGAACGUAGAAUAAUGAGAGGAAAUAUUUCUUUAAAAAAAAAAAAAAGAAAUCUGAGCUCUAUUCAGCCUGUCUGCUAUGGCACCUCUGGAAUUGCCUUGUCAUCCUCAGUGAUGAGGGUGCUUCUUAGGAAGUGGGAGACCUGCUUUCAGUGGCUCUGGCUGAAAUCACUUUUCUAACACCUACCAUAAGGGAAAUAAGGACAAAGUAAGGAUAUACUUUCCACUAUCCAAAUGAAACUAAAAUAUAAUAUAGAAAGAAAACGUUUCCUCUCACUGCCCUUAUGAAGCAUGUACAGUCACUGAAGAGAAGCAUUUACAGUACCUACAUUAAGUAGUUGAUAAGCAUCAUCCUCUCCCUGUUGUCUAUAUAAGAAGGUAGGGUCUGACAACCCAGGGAGCAGGCCAUCUCAAUCGCCAUUCAUCCCAUGUCAGAUGCUGCAGACAGAUAGUCUGAAUACAGCCCUGUAACUUUGAAAGGGAUGGCCCUGCACGGCUUCCUUGCACGCUCAGCUCCCUUCCUACACGUCUUUGUUCCUCUUUCCAUUUUGUCUUGUUGUCUUCAUUCUCUCAUAUCUCAUGUGGUGAGCUGGUGCCAGCGUAAUUAGCUAGGAAAGAUCUUUUAGUUAAAGAGAUGAGCAAAAGCUGCUUCUGGCAGAAAUCUUUG
ensembl:lncRNA